rnacentral:tRNA from 1 species
GGGAGUAUAGCUCAGUGGUAAAGUGCAUGCUUGGUAUGCACGAGGUCCUGGGUUCAAUCACCCAUGUCUCCUU